UACAGAGGGGGCAAGCGUUAUUCGGAAUUAUUGGGCAUAAAGGGCGCGUAGGCGGCUUUGCAAGUGACGGGUGAAAUCCCUCGGCUUAACCGAGGAACUGCCUGUCAAACUGCAUGGCUUGAGACCGGGAGAGGUGAGUGGAAUUCCCAGUGUAGCGGUGAAAUGCGUAGAUAUUGGGAGGAACACCAGUGGCGAAGGCGGCUCACUGGACCGGUACUGACGCUGAUGCGCGAAAGCGUGGGGAGCAAACAGG
rnacentral:rRNA from 1 species